rnacentral:rRNA from 1 species
GACGAACCGUGCGAACGUUGUUCGGAAUCACUGGGCUUAAAGGGCGCGUAGGCGGAUGAUCAAGUCCGGGGUGAAAUCUUUCGGCUUAACCGGAAAAUUGCCUUGGAUACUGAUUGUCUUGAGGGAGGUAGGGGCAUGCGGAACUUCCGGUGGAGCGGUGAAAUGUGUUGAUAUCGGAAGGAACGCCGGUGGCGAAAGCGGCGUGCUGGAUCGUCUUCCG